rnacentral:hammerhead_ribozyme from 1 species
CCACUGCUGAAGAGUUGCACAAUGGGACGAAACGGCCGUCCAGUGU